rnacentral:rRNA from 1 species
GCUACGUGAGGCAGCAGUGGGGAAUAUUGGGCAAUGGGCGAAAGCCUGACCCAGCAACGCCGCGUGAAGGAAGAAGGCUUUCGGGUUGUAAACUUCUUUUGACAGGGAAGAGGAGAAGACGGUACCUGUCGAAUAAGCCACGGCUAACUAAGUGCCAGCAGCCGCGGUAAUACGUCGGUGGCAAGCGUUGUCCGGAUUUACGGGGUGGAAAGGGCGUGGAGCCGGGGUGCAAAGUCAGAUGGGAACUCCGGGGGCUCAACCCCCGAACUGCAUUUGAAACUGUUGGUCUUGAGUAUCGGAGAGGCAGGCGGAAUUCCUUGUGUAGCGGUGAAAUGCGUAGAUAUUAGGUGGAACACCAGUGGCGAAGGCGGCCUGCUGGACGACAACUGACGGUGAGGCGCGAAAGCGUGGGGAGCAAACAGGAUUAGAUACCCCUGUAGUC